rnacentral:rRNA from 1 species
GACAGAGGGUGCAAACGUUGUUCGGAAUUACUGGGCGUAAAGCGCGUGUAGGCGGCUUCGCAAGUCGGAUGUGAAAUCCCACGGCUCAACCGUGGAAGUGCAUUCGAAAACUGCAAGGCUAGAGUCCUGGAGAGGAAGGUGGAAUGCUUGGUGUAGAGGUGAAAUUCGUAGAUAUCAAGCGGAACACCGGUGGCGAAGGCGACCUUCUGGACAGUGACUGACGCUGAGACGCGAAAGCGUGGGGAGCAAACAGG